UACGUAGGGGGCGAGCGUUGUCCGGAUUCAUUGGGCGUAAAGAGCUCGUAGGCGGUUCAGUAAGUCGGGUGUGAAAGCUCCGAGCUCAACUCGGAGAGGCCACCCGAUACUGCUGUGACUCGAGUCCAGUAGAGGAGCGUGGAACUCCUGGUGUAGCGGUGAAAUGCGCAGAUAUCAGGAAGAACACCGGUAGCGAAGGCGGCGCUCUGGGCUGGUACUGACGCUGAGGAGCGAAAGCGUGGGUAGCAAACAGG
rnacentral:rRNA from 1 species